UCGGCUGCCCUCACCACAGCACUUACUCACUUCUCCUCGAACAUGCUGGCUCUGCCUGGAGUCCACCUCCGGACUGCGGAGUCUGUGCUGUCUCUGUCCCGGGGACAUGCCAGGGCACUCUGUUCCGAGAGACACCCCUGCCUUUGGGGGACUCCUCACCACAGCCUCGCUGCAGGCUUCGCCUCACGUGAGCGUUUCUCAUGGGGACUUCCCAGUCCUCAGUUCCGCUGCAUCCUGGUGGAAGAGAGAGGGAGAUUCACAGAACACCUCAGGGAUGGGGACGGGCAGAGGGAAGUGAGGCUUAGUUGAGCAUGGGUUUCCUUCUCGAGAAGGAGGAACCGGAGGGGCAUUUAUCAAUUCUAAGUCACUGGGAUUCUGGCAUCAUUGGUGAGGGCUGGCCCGGGAGCGCGGUGAGAAGGGUCCUGCAAUUGCGAGCGUGGGGAGCAUACCCCUCACCUCCUAAUGUUUGGCCAAUGGGCUGUGCUAGCCUGAGAAGGGAGGGCCAGAAACGAGCCAGCACAAGCAGGUCAACCUUUCCUGUUGUUGAGCACACCACCAGGAGGUCAUGCCCCAGACAGUUGCUGUCCCUUCCGGGUGGGUCCGGACGAGACAUGGAGAAACCUGAGCCCAGCCUGGGGUCUGGGGCUCCUGACCCACAGCCUGAGGCCACGCUGUCCAGUCAACCCACUGAGCCAGUCAUUUCUCGUGGUGACUGGAGAAAGCUCUCUACAGAAACGCCUGUCCUCCAUGCCUUCACCUACGCGAGAGCAUCCUCUGCUCCCUAGACCACACCGGGACAGUUCUGCACGGACCUAAGGAGCUCACAGCCCAGCCCCCUCCCCGGGGAAAUCUCUGCACUCAGGACUGGUAAUUUCCAGGGCACGGUCUGCCUUUCUCAGCUUUGUGGGAAGCACCUUUGGUUCAGCCUCACUGGUGAGGGUGGAGGCUGCCUCCCAUCCCCUCCUUGUUCACCAGCAGGCAUCAGCAGGGCUGCUAUUGGACCCCUUUAGACCAAGGCGCAACCUGGCUCCUCUGUUCUCAACAGGAUCAGAAAUGUCACACAGGGAGAUGAGGACACUGACACAUGGGACGAUGGCCACAGGAGGACACAGGGGAAGACGGCUGUCUACACAGCAAGGAGAGAGUCCGCAGGGGACACCAGUCCCGCCAAUACCUUGACCCUGGACUUCCAGACUCCAGGACUGAGAGAGAACAGCUGAACAGAUUCAGAGGUCCACUACGUGGCACGUAGCAGCCAUUCAUUCACUCACUGUGCCUGCUCCCUUGAGCCUGGCUGUAAUCUGGCUGAUAACAUUCAUUCAUUCAUUCAUUCAUUCAUCAGGUAUUUCCUGUGGGCCUACCAUGUGCCAGGCAUGGGCUAGCUUGGUUCUGGGGUAAAAAUGGUCCUUUGCCCAAGCUACUGAUGGAAUCACAGAGACGAUGGGGAAAAUCAGGUGCAACGCUGCAGGUGAAAUUGAUGCAGACCCAGGCUUCAGACCUGUUCUCCUAGACUGCAGUGGUGCGACGACAGCUCACUGCAGCCUUGACCUCUGGGUUCAAGAGAUCCUCCUGCCUCAGCCUCCCAAGUAGCUGGCACAUGCCACCACACCUGGCUAUUUUCUUUUAAUUUUUUAUUUGUUUGUAGGGACAGGGUCUCACCAUGUUGCCCAGGCUGGUCUCCAACUCCUGGGCUCAAGCGAAUCUCCCACUUCAGCCUCCCACAGUGCUGGGAUUACAGGUGUGAGCCACCAUGCCUGGCCUAGUUUGGGUAACUUUGAGUCACCUGAAGAGUCAGCCUCAGCCCCAGAGGGUUCUUCCUUCCCCAGGGUGCUGUGUUUGCACGGGAGCACAGAACCAUUGCCCCAGCAGGGCUUUUCAGUGGAACCGAGUGUCCCCACACGAGCUUUGUCUCCGGAUGCACACGAGGAGAUUCUGCAGCACAGUGGAGCCGAUUAAGCCAUUACAGCUUUCCAGAGGGAAAAGAAAAUUUAGGACACGUAGAAACUAAGUCUUUGCCCACAAUCAAGUUUCCAUUCAAAUUAUGAAAAGGAAGUGAUUGAAUGAGAAUGAGACGACCUCCCCCUUCCCCCACGGAUCUUCCUCCCUCUGCUCCCUCUGCUGCUGACGCGAGCACUGCACCAAGGCGACGGCCCCGGGCACCAAGCACUGCACCAAGGCGACGGCCCCGGGCGCCCAGGCUGAUUCCCGCACUCGGGCGCGGACCUCACGGCUGGGCUGACUCCCGCACUCGGGCGCGGACCUCACGGCUGGGCUGAUUCCCGCCCUCGGUCGCGGACCUCACGGCUGGGCUGACUCCCGCACUCGGGCGCUGAACUCAUGGCCGGUUCUGAAGAACUCUGGUUCUGCUCAUGCCCCACAUCAAAAUGGCCAAGUCUUCAGAUUUGGGAUUUCCCAAGCCAAAAGCAUUUUCAUAGAAUUGUAUUUCAAUAUUUACAUUCUCUUUAAAGAAAGUCCAGGU
rnacentral:lncRNA from 1 species